CUUUCUUAUGUGCCUCUUCAAUUAGACAUUUCACGGUGUCUGCAUAAGCCUGUCCAGGGUCAGGAUGAUCUUCUCUGUAAAUACCGUGUUUUCGGAACUUGUACGGGCUGAUGUCGAUGAGUGAGGUGACAUGUCCAUGAUAUGCACUGGAGAGGCAGCACGAUGACAUCCUGGUGUUGGGUAUACUGACGGGCCAGUCUCAACGCAAGAUCAUUAGCCUCGGAACUUUGGAAGAAGACAGUAUCUAUAUAAAAUUUCACUGAAUAUUUAUUUUAAACUGAAUAAACAGAGUUACUUACCCUGAGUUGACAAAAUAAAAGACACAAAUCUUCUUUGGCAGUGUUGCUGCCAGCCGAGAUGCAUACUGCACUAUAUUAUCAUGAAGGAAUCUAGUGUUUGAAUUUAGAAGAUCCAUCUGAGCAGCCGCGGCCUGAGUGAUGCUGGGGUGACAGUGUCCCACUACAAAGACGAGAUGCAUCAAGUGUCAUCGUGGUUCUGUGAUUCGUAAUCAUGACACUUGACACUUCCUGUAUUGCUCUGGAAAGCCUAUUUAAAUUCAGUGGGAUGAUGACACGAGCUGAUUAUGUUUCUAUUAGCAUUCAUUUUAGGACAAUUUAUAAUGGUUUUACUACAGGAACAUUAACUAUGGUAGAAGUGUAGAAGUAGAAACGUUGUAGGAGAGUCAAGAAAUAUACUUUAUUUGCGUAACAAAUAAACCACUUUUUCAGUUAUAA